AUGUUCCUUGAAGGUCUAUUAACAAUCCUCUGGGUGCAAAUAGCAUUGGUGAAUGGUCAAGUUCUGAGUCAGAGCGUUCAGUAUGUAUCCAUCCCAGAAGGAAAGGAUGCCUCCAUGAGCUGCAACUCCUCAAGUACACUUAACAACGUUCAGUGGUACAAGCAGGACCCUGAAGGAGGCCUGGUCCUCUUGGUGGCCGUAUAUAAGAGUGGAGAGUUGGUCAGAAAUGGCAAAGUGACUGCUGAGUUUGGUGGAACAAGGAAGGACAGUGUCUUGACUAUCUCAGCCUCGGAACCUGCUGACUCAAGUACCUACUUCUGUGCAGGACAGCACAGUGCGCCCCAGACAUCUGCAGCCUGUAUCAAAUCUGCAGCUGCAACUCCAGUCAUGAUGCUGCCUAUAGCUCCAGCUCCUUCAGUGUGA